rnacentral:rRNA from 1 species
UACAGAGGGUGCAAGCGUUGUUCGGAAUUACUGGGCGUAAAGCGCGUGUAGGCGGCUCUUCAAGUCAGGCGUGAAAGCCCUGAGCUCAACUCAGGAACUGCGCUUGAUACUGUCGAGCUAGAGUGUGGAAGGGGCAAUCGGAAUUCCGUGUGUAGCGGUGAAAUGCGUAGAUAUACGGAGGAACACCAGAGGCGAAGGCGGAUUGCUGGGCCAACACUGACGCUGAGACGCGAAAGCCAGGGUAGCAAACGGG